UACGUAGGGUGCGAGCGUUGUCCGGAAUUAUUGGGCGUAAAGAGCUUGUAGGCGGUCUGUCGCGUCUGCUGUGAAAAUCCGGGGCUCAACCCCGGACUUGCAGUGGGUACGGGCAGACUAGAGUGUGGUAGGGGAGACUGGAAUUCCCGGUGUAGCGGUGAAAUGCGCAGAUAUCGGGAGGAACACCGGUGGCGAAGGCGGUUCUCUGGGGCCUUACCUGACGCUGAGGAGCGAAAGCAUGGGGAGCGAACAGG
rnacentral:rRNA from 1 species